rnacentral:misc_RNA from 1 species
GGAAGUAAAAGCCGUAACAAGGUUUCCGUAGGUGAACCUGCGGAAGGAUCAUUAUUGUAUAACCGAGGUGCGAGGGCUGUCGCUGACCCGAAAGGUCGUGCACGCCCGAGUGCCCUCACACACAUCCAUCUCACCCCUAUGUGCACCACCGCGUGGGUCCCCCUUUGGCUUGUUCGGAGGGGGGCUUACGCUUUCACACAAACUUUGUAUGCAGUGUAGAAUGUAUUUUUUGUUUUUGCGAUCACGCAAUCAAUACAACUUUCAACAACGGAUCUCUUGGCUCUC